rnacentral:misc_RNA from 1 species
UAAAUUUUUGAAAUAAAAACUUAGAUGAAUUGAGUUGAAUUGAGUAUUACUUGCCAUUUUUAAAAAAAUUAUAUGAUAAUUGAUAAUUAAAAAAGUAUAAAAGAAAAAAAAAUUAAAAUAGAGUAACUAUUAAACAAACACCUAAAGUUGAGGAACUAUCGAUUAAAAUUAGCCUAAGUUUGACAAUAUCAUGCAACAUAUGCAGGCAAACAAUUAAUCAAUGUGAUUCUUAUUCAAUCCCAAAGGUAUUUGGAAACAUGUCCACAUUAAGAAGAGAUGCGACUAAAACUGAUAACAUACACUCUUUCUGAAAAAAUAGCUGAAAAUCCUACAGAUUACUAAUACACCAGGAAUUACGAGAUCAGAAGGUUGCAAGUGGCCAUCCACUCUUAUAUUGCCAUGAGAUCACCAUAAUUCCGCAUCAGAAAAAUGGAUCCUGCGAACAGUCCACCAGCUCGAAGCAAUUUCUGCAACAAGAAAGAGUGAAUUCCUCAAUAGCCAAUAUAGAAGGAAAGCAAAACUCCACUUGCAAUUUAUAUAAGAACAAAUGACAUAUAAUGAAAAUUUGCUUAUGAAAACUCAUUUCAAGGUUUGAGCAGCAUUUUAUCUAACCACCUAUUCCAAGAAAUUCUUAUUUCCCAAAGAGAUAUGAACAACACUAAGAUUGUCCAAUGUAGGCCCAUGAGCAGAUGGCGUAGGAGUAGAUUGAUAAAUAAGACAAUCUGAAAAUGAUUAGCUCAAUUGUGCACCAAUUACAAAGCUUGCAUCCAGAACAACAGUAAGUGGGGAGAUUAUUUACACUAUUUCUCAUACAGUCUUAACCCCCAAAAGAGCAUGUUCUGGUUUUGAAAAACAAAAUUUGAACAAAUAUGCCAUGAGGCAUCCAUCACUCGUCUAAAAUCAUCCUACAAAACAGAAUCUGCAGGAAGAAAUUACCCUGAAACUCAAUUCGGCAUAAGAUUCAUUUUAUACAGAAGGAACCUAAAUCUUUUAUUAAAGAUUUCUCUUUCACAGUGAUAUGUAUGCUGAAAAUAACAAUGUGGUCAUCUUAACUGAUGAUUUUUGAGUGAAAUCAUAAGUGAAAGAACCUGCCAAAGGUUCAAUAAUAAACGUCACAAGUAUGCAUUAAACUAAAUCUGAACUCUUGAUUUUUGGAAAUUGAAAUAUUUAUCUCACACUUUUGUUUGUAAUGGACUUUUUUAAGCUGCCCUUAUAGCCUUCUAUCACAAAAUUCUGUACUCUAUGACAAAUUUCCCUAGCCUAGAAAACAUAUCUCUUGAUGCCAGACAUGAAAUAGUUCCUGGAUUUUUUGAAGGAAAAACUCUGUUACAUUAAUGCCUCUUUCAUUUUAUAGGAUGUUUUAAGACCCAGCUCAGUGAAAAGCUUAAACAUCUUGUUUAUUACCUUCAGAAAGGAAAAAUAUAAUGUUUUCACUGUAUUUUCAUGUCUUGGAAGAGAUCCUGCUCAGCUGCUCUUCAAACAUGGAAUAUACUGCUAGACAUAAAACUCUCUCAAAUCUUUUAGUUUAAAAUAAAUCCUUUAAUUUCAAGCAUCUAGAUAAAGGGAUUUGCAAAACCAAAUCAAAUCCAAAAAUUUUCUUCCUCAAGAACACUGAGCUGAGAAUGAAAUGAUAAUACACCUACAUGGAUUUAGCAUUUUAUCUAGCUUUUUCUAAAUAGCAAGUUGUAUGCAGUGUUUACUACCACUUCAAAUGUGUUAUCUAAAACACAAUUUCCUCAUAAAUUGCCUUUGACGUCAUUCUGGCCUACUAUUCUUUUGCUUGCUUACUACCACUUCAAAUGUGGGUUCCUGUUAACUCAGUCAUUCCUCCUAGACCUCCCACUCUCUCUUUUCCUGUUUAUUUGUCGUGAGACGUGCAUGUUGUUUCUUCUCUUUAAUUCUCAUUGAGGAAGAAAAACUACUAUCUUUUCCCACUGUUUCUUCAUUCAAAUUAUUCGGCUUGGAAACAAAAUACACCAAAUAGCUACAGCAAAAGUAGUAAGGAAAUAAAGUAGUAACUUAAAAAGAAAGAACCCAUGAAGUACUUCGAUUACAGCAACUGUUUGCAGCCACCAAGGCAAACUUAAAAUCCAUCCUAUUUCCAAGCACCCUUUCACACAUCCAAUGACCUAUCCAUAUCAAUUCUCCAUAGGAUUUAACUCACACUUCCUCUGAUGAAACCACAUCAACACUGAAAAUUCAAUCAAACAGAAAUAUAAUAAUCAUUCGAAGAAUCAAUGGAAAAUUGCCACAUCCAAAGACACGCAUUGAAAUCAAGACAAACCAAACACCACAAGCCAAAAACAGCCUAUUUCAGCUCUCACUCGCCAUUCGUAUUUAUGCAUGUUGAAAUCAAAAGAAUAUAUAAUGGAGUAAAAAAAUGCCUAAUUUUACGAAAAUAAAUUGCGAGUUUAGGAGAUUAAAGAAAAUUGUAGAAAGCGAGAUCAUACCAUGUUGAGGGCCCA